rnacentral:lncRNA from 1 species
CCAUUUCCGUAACGAAAUAGUAUAAUAGAGUAACUGUAUUUAUUUUUAUAUCGACACACAUCUCUCUGGAAUACUAUAGGGGGCAUCCGGAAAUCUUCUAGGGCGCACACUUUGGAAACCACUGGGUUAAUUGUAUUCCGUUCGAAAACCAAACUGGACUAACGAGAAGGUAGUAUUAGCGUCCUAAAGACCGUUUUAUCGCUUAUCGCCCGGAUUUAUUCCAUACACUCGUUAACUUUCUCCGUCCCGUCGGGGUCUGAGGCGAGUCGUUGCAACCCAGGUGGACCCGUGGUAAAAUUGUAUCGACCUCCGCCGUAUUUAUUGCUGAUGGAGAUGGAAAGCGUUUGUAAUCAUUUUCCGACCAUAAAGCGGCGGAACUAGUCUGACCACCCGCCGAUGGGCCGAUGGGUGAGGCAGGGUGGCGGCCGAGACCCCGGGCCGGCAGAAAAUUUUCCCGAGUCGGUGCGGGGAUGGGGUCCGAACUCGGUAGAUGGAAAGCCGUAGGCCUUGGGGGCCGGCUACCGAGCGGACCGGGGUCAAACCAGUAAGAUCCAUCAUCGUAAUGGAAGAAAUGGGCGAGGGCCAGAGUUGGCCACUUUAAUCGAAUACAUUGUAUAUCUGAACUUAUAUAACGGCUGUUCUCCAUCGAGUAGGCAAAAUCCCCAGCUAGACGCUAUAUUUUCGAUAUUUUAAUAAUUAUAAUAUUUUUUAUGGUGACCGAUGGGAAUUUUAACAAUAAAUGUCGACCGCCCGCGGAUACGACUUUAAACUAGGUCUGUUACUGGGCACCGUAUAAUAAGACAAACCUAUUUAAAUAAGGAAUGAUGGUAAUAUUAUAUUGGAAUGACUCGAACUGGCUAUACCCGGUUGGGGGAAACAGGCCGAAGCCAGGUAGUUUCCGUCCAGCUUCCGACCGAGUCCGCGGUCCGCGCACCAGCCAACUAGCCAGUGGCACCAUGGCUUUUCGUAUCUAAACGUAACGACAGAAGUGAAGUUUGGGGGACCAGCUCAUCCAACCCAAAAUAUCAUUACGGCGGUUCGACAUAACGCGAUUCUUACUACAGAUGAUACGGGGAUAGAAUAGAAAGAAUUCAGCGGAAUACGGCAUCCGAUGCCGGUGGUUGGAAGUAAUUUCGAAUGGCCCGAGCUACUACUCGUAACUUUCCCAGACCGUACGAUUUUCUCGUUUAGUUACGGGUGAGAGCCGGACGGAAACUAUUAUUUGGUGGAGUCGAUGGAACCGUUUAUCCGUCAGCGUGUCCCCAGUGUUUAAUUAAUGGUCUUUCCCCAGCUACUUCCAUUGUCACUUCCAGUUAGUCGAAAGAAGGCUAUAACCCACCAUUCCGGUUAAUAACCUUAUUAAAUGGAAGUCCGAGAUAGCCCGACUAGUCAUAUAGUAUACACCAGAUAUAGGGCCAGUAGAUAUUAAGUGUUCUUUCUGGCCAAUUGUCCCGGUGUAUCGGAUACUGGUUUCAUUUAAUGCAAAUGGGUGGCACCGUUUUCGAAAAGAACGGCCCUAUUAGUCGACCUUUAUCUGGAAAUCUGGUUAUCCGUACCCGUGUUUCUUUUUCAAAUUUGAUUCGUAUCCGAUUGGUUCCAAAUAUCGCCUACCGCCGGGUGGCCCUAUUAAACCAGCGGUCGGUAAUGGUUUUAAAAUUUACUCCGUUAAUAGGUUUAAUGGAGAAAAAAUAUUGUGUGUAGGUUUUUAUUCGUCUAGUUAUUUUAAUUAACCCAUCAUCCACCUAGUCUAAAAACCACCAGUUAAAGAAGGAUGGGAAAAUCGACCGAUUUCGGUUCCGCCUUGUAUUUUCCAGUCUUAUUUCCAUGGUGGCUGCCUAGAGACGGAAAACAAUCGACCUUUAACGGUCUCUGGGUGUUGUAAAAAAAUAUAAUGGUUUUUUAUUGCGGCCUAUUUGGAUACGCCGAUCCGGCUUUCCGAAGGAUAAACAUUUAAAACAGGAACGAGAAAUUAAAUUAAGAACGAAAUAUAGCUGGACGAGUUGGUCUGGUGUAAGCGGUGCACAUUUUUUCCAGACAGCUACCGCUCCACACGGACACAUGUUCCAUUCAAUCCUUAGAAAAAAAAAAUAUUUGAUUUGUAUCUAUAAUUUUACACGAUUUUUUUAAACUUAAGAUGGCCGCAAUUCGUUUAUAGUA